CUGGCUGUGUGCCUAAUACAUGCAUGUCGAGCGAAGUUCUUCGGAACUUAGCGGCAAAUGGGUGAGUAACACGUACUCAACGUACCUCUUAGAUUGGGAUAGCAGUUGGAAACAACUAUUAAUAACAAAUACGUAUAAUUUUCGCAUGAAGAUUAUAUAAAAGUAGCGUUUGCUACACUAAGAGAGCGGGGUGCGUAACAUUAGUUAGUUGGUGAGGUAAUGGCUCACCAAGACGAUGAUGUUUAGCGGGGUUGAGAGACUGAACCGCCACACUGGGACUGAGAUACGGCCCAGACUCCUACGGGAGGCAGCAGUAGGGAAUAUUCCACAAUGAACGAAAGUUUGAUGGAGCGACACAGCGUGCAGGAUGAAGGCCCUAUGGGUUGUAAACUGCUGUGGUAAGAGAAGAAAAAACCGAGGAGGAAAUGCCUUGGUCUUGACGGUAUCUUAUUAGAAAGCAACGGCUAACUAUGUGCCAGCAGCCGCGGUAAUACAUAGGUUGCAAGCGUUAUCCGGAAUUAUUGGGCGUAAAGCGUCUGUAGGUUGUUUGUUAAGUCUGAUGUUAAAUUUUGGGGCUCAACCCCAACACGCAUUGGAUACUGGCAUACUAGAGUUAUGUAGAGGUUAAUGGAAUUCCUUGUGAAGCGGUGGAAUGCGUAGAUAUAAGGAAGAACACCAAUAUGGCGAAGGCAGUUAACUGGGCAUACACUGACACUGAGAGACGAAAGCGUGGGGAGCAAACAGGAUUAGAUACCCUGGUAGUCCACGCCCUAAACGAUGAUCAUUAGCUGAUGGGGAACUCAUCGGCGCAGCUAACGCAUUAAAUGAUCCGCCUGAGUAGUACGUUCGCAAGAAUAAAACUUAAAGGAAUUGACGGGGAUCCGCACAAGCGGUGGAGCAUGUGGUUUAAUUUGAAGAUACGCGUAGAACCUUACCCACUCUUGACAUCUUCUGCAAAGCUAUAGAGAUAUAGUGGAGGUUAACAGAAUGACAGAUGGUGCAUGGUUGUCGUCAGCUCGUGUCGUGAGAUGUUCGGUUAAGUCCUGCAACGAGCGCAACCCUUGUCCUUAGUUACUAACAUUAAGUUGAGCACUCUAAGGAGACUGCCCGAGUAAUUGGGAGGAAGGUGGGGACGACGUCAAAUCAUCAUGCCUCUUACGAGUGGGGCAACACACGUGCUACAAUGGUCGGUACAAAGAGAAGCAAACUGGUGACAGGGAGCAAACCUCAAAAAACCGAUCUCAGUUCGGAUUGUAGUCUGCAACUCGACUACAUGAAGUCGGAAUCGCUAGUAAUCGUAGAUCAGCUACGCUACGGUGAAUACGUUCUCGGGUCUUGUACACACCGCCCGUCAAACCAUGGGAGCUGGUAAUGCCCGAAGUCGGUUUAUAAACAAACUGCCUAAGGCAGGACUGGUGACUGGGGUUAAGUCGUAACAAGGUAUCCCUACGAGAACGUGGGGAUGGAUCACCUCCUUUCUACGGAGUACAAAAUACUUUAUUACUUAAUUUACUAUUGGAGUAAAUUAAAUUCUUAACUUUAUUAAUCAGACCUAUUAACCAAUUUGUCAUGGCUUUCAGGUCAAAAGCUUUAUAUCU
rnacentral:rRNA from 2 species